rnacentral:rRNA from 1 species
GACGAACGCUGGCGGCGUGCUUAACACAUGCCAGUCGAACGGAAAGGCCCUGCUUUUGUGGGGUGCUCGAGUGGCGAACGGGUGAGUAACACGUGAGUAACCUGCCCUUGACUUUGGGAUAACUUCAGGAAACUGGGGCUAAUACCGGAUAGGAGCUCCUGCUGCAUGGUGGGGGUUGGAAAGUUUCGGCGGUUGGGGAUGGACUCGCGGCUUAUCAGCUUGUUGGUGGGGUAGUGGCUUACCAAGGCUUUGACGGGUAGGCGGCCUGAGAGGGUUACCGGCCACAUUGGGACUGAGAUACGGACCAGACUCCUACGGGAGGCAGCAGUGGGGAAUAUUGCACAAUGGGCGGAAGCCUGAUGCAGCAACGCCGCGUGCGGGAUGACGGCCUUCGGGUUGUAAACCGCUUUCGCCUGUGACGAAGCGUGAGUGACGGUAAUGGGUAAAGAAGCACCGGCUAACUACGUG